UGGGUAACCUGCCUCAAGUAGAGGGGAAUAAGCCUUCCCGAAAGGAAGAGUUAAUACCGCAUAAGGAUUGUAAUAUCGCAUGAUAUAGCAAUUAAAGGAGUAAUCCGCUAGUGAGAUGGACCCGCGUCGCAUUAGCUAGUUGGUGAGGUAACGGCUCACCAAGGCGACGAUGCGUAGCCGACCUGAGAGGGUGAUCGGCCACAUUGGGACUGAGACACGGCCCAGACUCCUACGGGAGGCAGCAGUGGGGAAUAUUGCACAAUGGGGGAAACCCUGAUGCAGCAACGCCGCGUGAGUGAUGACGGUCUUCGGAUUGUAAAGCUCUGUCUUCAGGGACGAUAAUGACGGUACCUGAGGAGGAAGCCACGGCUAACUACGUGCCAGCAGCCGC
rnacentral:rRNA from 1 species